CUUUUUUUCUAUGAUGGGACCAAACAACAAAGGUAGCAGUUGCAGGCACUUUCAUUUUGAAUGCUCCCCCUCGGCCAUUUUAAUCUGAGAGGAAUGGCACUUAUCCCUUGUAUUAAUUAAAGGGAAUGGCCAAAUUAUCUUUGAUUGGGAUGCACCUGUUUCUUGUUUUUUCCCCACUAACCUCUGUUGUUAACAUAGGUAUUGUUUAAAGAAUCGACAUUCCAAGCCAAUAUCACCUUGAGUAUUGUAACAUUUGAUGCCAUUAUAAUUUAUGCUUGUUGGUGGACUGCGACCCAGACAGGUUGGUGGAGCUUGACAAAUAAGAUCAGGUUGCCGAGAACAAUCAGAUAGCCCUAAAUGUUGUACACCAAGCCGGGGGCCCAUAACCCAUCCCAAAAGGUAUUGUUUGAGUUCAGUCACCAUUCAUGCUUUGUUAAGAGAAGAAGAUUUUCUUUUUUCCUCUGCCUUCAAAUUUUGAAUCCUUCAUAAAGGGGCCUCGGAGGCAUUGAACCA